UUCGAUGACUGAGAUGUGUUUUGAUGGACUUCUUCGGCUCAUACUUUGUUAUCGGAUGGUUGUUAGGGGUCUACAUGCAAAACGAUGAUUGGUGAGAUGUGAGAUUUGGUUGUUGGGGAUGAUGACGGUGACGGCGAAAUUCGGUUGGGCUUGAAGAAACCCAGAAAAAAAGAGAGAUGGAAGAAGAGAUGGAGAGGUGGUGGUGACGUUAUGGUGGUCGUUUUGGUGGUGACGACUGACGAUGAUGGUAGUAGUGGUGGUGAUGACGUAGUUGUGGUGGUGACAAAUGACAAUUUUAUAUAGUGGGGUUAAAAUUGUUAAUAAUACAUGUAAUAUACACAAUAUCAUAGUUCUAUGGUUAGAAUAGUUAGAUAGUGAAUUAAAGUUUUUUUUUUGGUUAUACAGCCAAAUUUCCCUUUUUUAUUUCUUGUUCUUGUAAAAGUUCAAACAUUAAUUUUCGUGUUGUUCACGUUUAUGGUUGGAACAUCCUAAACUAGGUUCUUCUAAAGAUAAUCCAAGGAGGCGACAUUUUACCUAA